ACUGUUAGUCACGCACCCGAAAUGCAUUUGAAGUGGUGGCGAAAAUUCGAAAAUUGGAUCUCACCCAACAACACAUUGUUUAAAAUCUUUCUGAGAUUACCGAUAAUCGCAUAAAAUUUGUAACACUGUCACGAACAGUACCUACAGGCUGUGAUAUUUUUGGUUUUGAGUAGAAAAUAGUAGAUAAGAUGCUCACUUACCUUAGGAAUCCGAUAACGGGCUACGAAUACUCAUUCUGGCCCGAUGCGAAAUUUUUUUAUCAUUAUAAAAUAUAUCGACCAUUAUACUUACACGAAGAUUGGCCAAUAAAGGGAAGAGAGUGGUAUCCACAAUACUGGCCCAGCCACCAUUCAUACUGGCACUACUUGAGGGACACACCCAGCGAGAGGGCCUGCUCUCAAGUGAGGGUUGCCAGUAACCUUUAUUGGACGGACACCAUUUUACCAUGAUUGUUAUUAGGAGAAAUUUAUAUAAUUGUAAAUAAGUUGUAUAUAUAAUUUAUAUAAUGUUAAAUAUUUUUGUACAAAAGUUUUGGGAUCAAUAAACAUUCUAAAUAAACCCA
rnacentral:lncRNA from 1 species